AUGGGGACGAGGACGUGGGGGACAGCGCUAAGCGGGAGGUGGCAGCAGGGUGAGCCCGCGCGACACGCCUCUGCCUACAGGCAGACGUUCAAGAAGACCUGGCCGUGGGCUGGCUUGGCUUCAGUGAUUGCUCACAACAUUGGCCUAGGGUUACAAGACGUUAGGUUAUUGCUCCCUACAUUACAGUCUUUGGCCAAAGGGAAUCCACGACUUGCUCUAAGGUUUGUGAUGCCAUUAGUUGUAUCAAAGCGGCAUUUGCAACUCUCCUUCUUGAUGGAAAUAAUUAGUGCCGCCCGCUGGAGCAUAUGGAAUUGCCGUCCUUCUUGCAAGUGUUCUGUUUCAAUAUGUAAAUGA
rnacentral:rRNA from 1 species